UUUCUUUGCUCAUUCCUUCUAUUCUUCUCUCUAUACAUUGGUGUUCUAACCAAUAAUCACCAAUAUGAUAUUAUGUCCGAUCGAUUCGGAAACCAACGGACGAAUGCCAAAGUGCUGUCUAAAUAAGACUAUACUUUGUGAAUUUCGUUAAGGUUCUGAUCUCGUGACCAUCGUCAGGUUUGAUUGGGUUUAACACUAAUACGUAUUCCACUCUGUUAAACUAAAUGAUUAACUACCAGAAAACUCUGCACUAUACACUUACAAUCAAAAUAGAUGCUUAGUUACCAGAAGACUUAGAAUCAGGAAGCCUGUUAAAUCAAGACUAUAUGCUAACAAGGUGAUUACAGUAGAUCGGAAUAAGAGUUGUGAUACGGCACCGAAAGGCUUAAAGAAGUGGCUUAUUUUAUCAAUUAAACUAAAUCAAGAAAUGUUGUUUUAGGGUUUAUCCCAUACUAAAGCUACAUUUGUAAAACAUGGGUUUAUUCCUAUCUGUUUAAUAAAUAAAAUCCGGUGUUUCAAAAC